CCUACGGGGGGCAGCAGUCGAGAAUCAUUCACAAUGGGGGAAACCCUGAUGGUGCGACGCCGCGUGGGGGAAUGAAGGUCUUCGGAUUGUAAACCCCUGUCAUGUGGGAGCAAAUUAAAAAGAUAGUACCACAAGAGGAAGCGACGGCUAACUCUGUGCCAGCAGCCGCGGUAAUACAGAGGUCUCAAGCGUUGUUCUGAAUCACUGGGCGUAAAGCGUGCGUAGGCUGUUUCGUAAGUCGUGUGUGAAAGGCGCGGGCUCAACCCGCGGACGGCACAUGAUACUGCGAGACUAGAGUAAUGGAGGGGGAACCGGAAUUAUCGGUGGAGCAGUGAAAUGCGGAGAUAUCGAGAGGAACACUCGUGGCGAAGGCGGGUUCCUGGACAUUAACUGACGCUGAGGCACGAAGGCCAGGGGAGCGAAAGGGAUUAGAUACCCUAGUAGUC
rnacentral:rRNA from 1 species